rnacentral:lncRNA from 1 species
AGAGCGUGGGCAGCUCCUCCUGAAGGCCCGAUAGACUUCCUUCUCUCCCUUUCCUAGUCAGGUUGGCUUUCUCCUCCUCCCUCCUUUGAUGCUUUGCAGUGUUGCCUUUCCCUCAUGUUUCUGCUUCUUUCUUCACUUUACCUAAUUCACGGCUUUGGAGAUAGGUGGCAGGGAAGGAAGUUCAUAUUUAUGUAUAAAAGGAGAGCAAGUCCUAGUAGGAGGAAAAGGUAGGUGAAAAGGUACCAGUAGCUUUGUGUUGUUUCUGAUUCUUUCGGUGUGGUGAAAGUGAAACAAACACGUAUCUCGAUUGUCCUUUCACAUCCUGCAUGAACGCACUCUGCACUUUUAUCCUUGUGAGCAGCGAUGAGUAGAAUCAUAAUAAAGCCUGUAACACCAGCACUUGAAAGACUGGAGUACGAUAAUCAAUGUUUGUCUGCUUUUAAAGACAUUCUAUUUUUAUUAUUUUAAAAAUUAUUUGUAGCUGUGUAUAUCUGCUUGUGGGCUUGUGCAUGUGAGUGCAGGAGCCUGUGGAGAUGAGACAGUGUUGGAUCCCGUGGAACUGGACUUGAAGAAGACUGUGAGCCACCUGAUAAGGGUACUGAGAAUUGAACUCAGGUCCUCUGAGUCAUUCUUUUUAACCCUGAUCAAAAGUUCUUUUCUUUCUUGAGACAAGGUCUUGCUAUGUGGCUUGGUUCAUGUGUGGAGCAGGCUAGCCUCUGAAUCAUACAGGUCCUCAGGCUAGCCUCUGAAUCAUACAGACCCUCAUCAGAAGCUCUUCAUGACCCCCACAGCUCCUGGAGACCAGCUCUUGUUAGUAGUUUGUGAUAAGGAGACGUGAUGGCAACUGGGUUGGGGUGGAGAAGGAAUCCAGAAUUGUUAGGUCCAUUGGUCAUGAAAUUUGCUAUAAAACUGAAUGAAAGGUGAAUCCAAACAGAUAAAAUUUAAAAAUUUAGAGAAAAUUCAGUACUUAAUCUUUCCUUUCAUAAUACAGUUUAUUUUUAAUUACUUUCUUAGCAUAUAAAAUGGUUUCCAUUUUGGCAUUUCUAUAAAUGUCAAAAUGUGCUUCCUUCAUAUCCAUCCCCAUUGCUUUCCUUGGCUCUCCUCCCCUCUCCUGUUGAUCCAUUUCCUUACCCUAAGACAAUCUCUUUUCUUCUUUCAUGUCAACCAAAAUAACUUAAAAAUAAAGGCCUUAACAAAAGGGGUUCCACAGACCUCCCCUAACAUAGCAGGCUAUUGCCAUUGCUUUUGUUUAUCCCUCAGAACUUGAUAGUAAGAUCCCACUACUGAGAUACCACGUAUUUGAGUCAUAAACAUGGAAAAAUCAAGUGUGCAGUGACCUGAGAGCUUCAUCCCUACUGACCAGCUUCCAUAGUGCUGGAAGAUGCUCUGCAUGCUACCAGAAGAGAAAAGCAAUUAUCACUCUCGCCUACCUACAAACCCUGAAAGCUACAAUAAUGACUAGUUUGGCCUCCUGGUUGCAAUAGUGGUGUGAGCACUAUAGGAGUAACCAACCAUGUUCUGACUCAUCUAAGCCCUGCUCCACAAGAUGAAACCCAUACCCGGCACAAUUGAGGCCAAGAACUGUGACUAAAGAGGUCUUGGUCCUUAAGGGAGACUUGACUACAGUUAUUUUGUUAAAUGGACUUAGUAUUAAAACAAUCCCUGAUAACUUAUGCUACACCCACAGAUCCAUACAUGUCCCAACACUCAGUGGAGAAACUGCUUGUGGUAGACGGCAGUUAAUACAGAAACCCACAGCUGGUCAGCAUGCAGAGACUAAGACUGCAGAGUGCUCAGCCUUAAGUGGAACAUCAGCACCCUACCCCUCUCCCCAAAGGUCAGGGAUCUUCAUGAAAUAGGGGUUGAGAGACCUUGUUAGCUCAAGUCAGAUGAAAUGCAAGCAUGGAGGACUGAAGGUGGGCCCAAAACCCCACCAGCAGCUGAGUGUUGAGGGGUUGUUGGUAUUUGAUAACUGCUAGAGGAGGAAGAGUCAACUUACUUUAAUGGUGUCACCUUGGGUCAACCAUACUCCAAAGCAGGAAACACUCCCAAGAAUAGCUGGGCAAUAUAAAUUAGACCCAAUGGGUUUUUAAAAGAAAGUAGGGGGGAAAACAAACAAAGACAUGAAGUUGGGUGGGAAGGGUGUAAGUAUGGGUCUGAGAGGAGUGGGGGUGACUGUAAUGAAAAUACUGGAGUGGAAUUUGGGGGACUGGAAAGAUGGCUCCAUGGUUAAGAGCAUUGGCUGCUCCUCCAGAAGACCCAGGUUCACCCACAUAAAAGUUUAUAUCUGUCUGUUACUUCAGUUUUAGAAGAUCUAACACUCUCUCUGGCCUUUGAGAGAACAGCACACAUGUGGUACACAUUCAUAUUUGUAGGCAAAACUUUCAUACACGU